UUAAGCGACUAAGCGUACACGGUGGAUGCCCUGGCAGUCAGAGGCGAUGAAGGACGUGCUAAUCUGCGAUAAGCGUCGGUAAGGUGAUAUGAACCGUUAUAACCGGCGAUUUCCGAAUGGGGAAACCCAGUGUGUUUCGACACACUAUCAUUAACUGAAUCCAUAGGUUAAUGAGGCGAACCGGGGGAACUGAAACAUCUAAGUACCCCGAGGAAAAGAAAUCAACCGAGAUUCCCCCAGUAGCGGCGAGCGAACGGGGAGCAGCCCAGAGCCUGAAUCAGUGUGUGUGUUAGUGGAAGCGUCUGGAAAGGCGCGCGAUACAGGGUGACAGCCCCGUACACAAAAAUGCACAUGCUGUGAGCUCGAUGAGUAGGGCGGGACACGUGGUAUCCUGUCUGAAUAUGGGGGGACCAUCCUCCAAGGCUAAAUACUCCUGACUGACCGAUAGUGAACCAGUACCGUGAGGGAAAGGCGAAAAGAACCCCGGCGAGGGGAGUGAAAAAGAACCUGAAACCGUGUACGUACAAGCAGUGGGAGCACGCUUCGGCGUGUGACUGCGUACCUUUUGUAUAAUGGGUCAGCGACUUAUAUUCUGUAGCAAGGUUAACCGAAUAGGGGAGCCGAAGGGAAACCGAGUCUUAACUGGGCGUUAAGUUGCAGGGUAUAGACCCGAAACCCGGUGAUCUAGCCAUGGGCAGGUUGAAGGUUGGGUAACACUAACUGGAGGACCGAACCGACUAAUGUUGAAAAAUUAGCGGAUGACUUGUGGCUGGGGGUGAAAGGCCAAUCAAACCGGGAGAUAGCUGGUUCUCCCCGAAAGCUAUUUAGGUAGCGCCUCGUGAAUUCAUCUCCGGGGGUAGAGCACUGUUUCGGCAAGGGGGUCAUCCCGACUUACCAACCCGAUGCAAACUGCGAAUACCGGAGAAUGUUAUCACGGGAGACACACGGCGGGUGCUAACGUCCGUCGUGAAGAGGGAAACAACCCAGACCGCCAGCUAAGGUCCCAAAGUCAUGGUUAAGUGGGAAACGAUGUGGGAAGGCCCAGACAGCCAGGAUGUUGGCUUAGAAGCAGCCAUCAUUUAAAGAAAGCGUAAUAGCUCACUGGUCGAGUCGGCCUGCGCGGAAGAUGUAACGGGGCUAAACCAUGCACCGAAGCUGCGGCAGCGACGCUUAUGCGUUGUUGGGUAGGGGAGCGUUCUGUAAGCCUGUGAAGGUGUACUGUGAGGUAUGCUGGAGGUAUCAGAAGUGCGAAUGCUGACAUAAGUAACGAUAAAGCGGGUGAAAAGCCCGCUCGCCGGAAGACCAAGGGUUCCUGUCCAACGUUAAUCGGGGCAGGGUGAGUCGACCCCUAAGGCGAGGCCGAAAGGCGUAGUCGAUGGGAAACAGGUUAAUAUUCCUGUACUUGGUGUUACUGCGAAGGGGGGACGGAGAAGGCUAUGUUGGCCGGGCGACGGUUGUCCCGGUUUAAGCGUGUAGGCUGGUUUUCCAGGCAAAUCCGGAAAAUCAAGGCUGAGGCGUGAUGACGAGGCACUACGGUGCUGAAGCAACAAAUGCCCUGCUUCCAGGAAAAGCCUCUAAGCAUCAGGUAACAUCAAAUCGUACCCCAAACCGACACAGGUGGUCAGGUAGAGAAUACCAAGGCGCUUGAGAGAACUCGGGUGAAGGAACUAGGCAAAAUGGUGCCGUAACUUCGGGAGAAGGCACGCUGAUAUGUAGGUGAAGUCCCUCGCGGAUGGAGCUGAAAUCAGUCGAAGAUACCAGCUGGCUGCAACUGUUUAUUAAAAACACAGCACUGUGCAAACACGAAAGUGGACGUAUACGGUGUGACGCCUGCCCGGUGCCGGAAGGUUAAUUGAUGGGGUUAGCGGUAACGCGAAGCUCUUGAUCGAAGCCCCGGUAAACGGCGGCCGUAACUAUAACGGUCCUAAGGUAGCGAAAUUCCUUGUCGGGUAAGUUCCGACCUGCACGAAUGGCGUAAUGAUGGCCAGGCUGUCUCCACCCGAGACUCAGUGAAAUUGAACUCGCUGUGAAGAUGCAGUGUACCCGCGGCAAGACGGAAAGACCCCGUGAACCUUUACUAUAGCUUGACACUGAACAUUGAGCCUUGAUGUGUAGGAUAGGUGGGAGGCUUUGAAGUGUGGACGCCAGUCUGCAUGGAGCCGACCUUGAAAUACCACCCUUUAAUGUUUGAUGUUCUAACGUUGACCCGUAAUCCGGGUUGCGGACAGUGUCUGGUGGGUAGUUUGACUGGGGCGGUCUCCUCCUAAAGAGUAACGGAGGAGCACGAAGGUUGGCUAAUCCUGGUCGGACAUCAGGAGGUUAGUGCAAUGGCAUAAGCCAGCUUGACUGCGAGCGUGACGGCGCGAGCAGGUGCGAAAGCAGGUCAUAGUGAUCCGGUGGUUCUGAAUGGAAGGGCCAUCGCUCAACGGAUAAAAGGUACUCCGGGGAUAACAGGCUGAUACCGCCCAAGAGUUCAUAUCGACGGCGGUGUUUGGCACCUCGAUGUCGGCUCAUCACAUCCUGGGGCUGAAGUAGGUCCCAAGGGUAUGGCUGUUCGCCAUUUAAAGUGGUACGCGAGCUGGGUUUAGAACGUCGUGAGACAGUUCGGUCCCUAUCUGCCGUGGGCGCUGGAGAACUGAGGGGGGCUGCUCCUAGUACGAGAGGACCGGAGUGGACGCAUCACUGGUGUUCGGGUUGUCAUGCCAAUGGCACUGCCCGGUAGCUAAAUGCGGAAGAGAUAAGUGCUGAAAGCAUCUAAGCACGAAACUUGCCCCGAGAUGAGUUCUCCCUGACUCCUUGAGAGUCCUGAAGGAACGUUGAAGACGACGACGUUGAUAGGCCGGGUGUGUAAGCGCAGCGAUGCGUUGAGCUAACCGGUACUAAUGAACCGUGAGGCUUAACCU
rnacentral:rRNA from 1 species